rnacentral:rRNA from 1 species
GUGAACGCUGGCGGUAGGCCUAACACAUGCAAGUCGAACGGCAGCACAGUAAGAGCUUGCUCUUACGGGUGGCGAGUGGCGGACGGGUGAGGAAUACAUCGGAAUCUACUUUUUCGUGGGGGAUAACGUAGGGAAACUUACGCUAAUACCGCAUACGACCUACGGGUGAAAGCAGGGGAUCUUCGGACCUUGCGCGAUUGAAUGAGCCGAGGUCGGAUUAGCUAGUUGGCGGGGUAAAGGCCCACCAAGGCGACGAUCCGUAGCUGGUCUGAGAGGAUGAUCAGCCACACUGGAACUGAGACACGGUCCAGACUCCUACGGGAGGCAGCAGUGGGGAAUAUUGGACAAUGGGGGCAAGCCUGAUCCAGCCAUACCGCGUGGGUGAAGAAGGCCUUCGGGUUGUAAAGCCCUUUUGUUGGGAAAGAAAAGCAGCAGGUUAAUACCCCGCUGUUCUGACGGUACCCAAAGAAUAAGCACCGGCUAACUUCGUG